rnacentral:rRNA from 1 species
AGAGUUUGAUCAUGGCUCAGGACGAACGCUGGCGGCACGCUUAACACAUGCAAGUCGAACGAGAGAAGAGGAGCUUGCUUUUCUGAUCUAGUGGCGGACGGGUGAGUAACACGUGAGCAAUCUGCCUUUCAGAGGGGGAUACCGAUUGGAAACGAUCGUUAAUACCGCAUAACAUAAUUGAACCGCAUGAUUUGAUUAUCAAAGAUUUAUCGCUGAAAGAUGAGCUCGCGUCUGAUUAGCUAGUUGGUAAGGUAACGGCUUACCAAGGCGACGAUCAGUAGCCGGACUGAGAGGUUGAUCGGCCACAUUGGGACUGAGACACGGCCCAGACUCCUACGGGAGGCAGCAGUGGGGAAUAUUGCACAAUGGAGGAAACUCUGAUGCAGCGAUGCCGCGUGAGGGAAGAAGGUUUUAGGAUUGUAAACCUCUGUCUUCAGGGACGAAAAAAGACGGUACCUGAGGAGGAAGCUCCGGCUAACUACGUGCCAGCAGCCGCGGUAAUACGUAGGGAGCGAGCGUUGUCCGGAAUUACUGGGUGUAAAGGGAGCGUAGGCGGGAUCGCAAGUCAGAUGUGAAAACUAUGGGCUUAACCCAUAAACUGCAUUUGAAACUGUGGUUCUUGAGUGAAGUAGAGGUAAGCGGAAUUCCUAGUGUAGCGGUGAAAUGCGUAGAUAUUAGGAGGAACAUCAGUGGCGAAGGCGGCUUACUGGGCUUUAACUGACGCUGAGGCUCGAAAGCGUGGGGAGCAAACAGGAUUAGAUACCCUGGUAGUCCACGCCGUAAACGAUGAUUACUAGGUGUGGGGGGACUGACCCCUUCCGUGCCGCAGCAAACGCAAUAAGUAAUCCACCUGGGGAGUACGACCGCAAGGUUGAAACUCAAAGGAAUUGACGGGGGCCCGCACAAGCAGUGGAGUAUGUGGAUUAAUUCGAAGCAACGCGAAGAACCUUACCAGGUCUUGACAUCGUAUGCAUAGCUCAGAGAUGAGUGAAAUCUCUUCGGAGACAUAUAGACAGGUGGUGCAUGGUUGUCGUCAGCUCGUGUCGUGAGAUGUUGGGUUAAGUCCCGCAACGAGCGCAACCCUUACUGUUAGUUGCUACGCAAGAGCACUCUAGCAGGACUGCCGUUGACAAAACGGAGGAAGGUGGGGAUGACGUCAAAUCAUCAUGCCCCUUAUGACCUGGGCCUCACACGUACUACAAUGGCUGUCAACAGAGGGAAGCAAAGCCGCGAGGUGGAGCGAACCCCUAAAAGCAGUCUUAGUUCGGAUUGUAGGCUGCAACCCGCCUACAUGAAGUCGGAAUUGCUAGUAAUCGCAGAUCAGCAUGCUGCGGUGAAUACGUUCCCGGGCCUUGUACACACCGCCCGUCACGCCAUGGGAGUCGGUAACACCCGAAGCCUGUAGUCUAACCGCAAGGAGGACGCAGUCGAAGGUGGGAUUGAUGACUGGGGUGAAGUCGUAACAAGGA